rnacentral:lncRNA from 1 species
CUUAUAUGAAGAAAAAAGUCUGUCAAAAUAGGGAUUUGGAAAGGGGAGGGGGAAGCAGGAAGUCUUCCUGUUGGCAUUUAUUAGAAGGGAAAUGAAUGUUUUAUGUUCGGGGGCCCUGCUGGAUGUGCAGUGCUCGGGGACAGUGGUGUGGUGAAAGCCUCCUCACUUCUUGAGUGCAGGGUGCGAAUGUGAUCUGGAAUAAACAAGAAAGGGCUAAAUAUAGAAGCCUCUGGCUCCCAUCCUGCGAUGGUGGCUCUGCCCUCACUGCAGUCCUGGAGGCAGCAAGUUCUGCCUAUUGUUCCGGUCACAUUCUUGUGUCCCACGAUGGGGCCUCUGUGAUGGAAUAAAAUGAAGAGAAACAGAUGGGAAAACAAUAACCCAAGGAACAGGCCCUAAGCUUUGCUGGAAGCUUCCAAAAACCCAUAAAUCCUCAAAUGCAUUUGUGCUGGAUUAGGGAACUGAAGCAAAGCAAGGGCCAAGUACUUGCCUGCCUUUAUCCCAUGUGCUCUUGUUGUACAGGGGCCGCUCUCUAUAGGGGCUCUACCUUGCAACAAAUGCUUGUAGUGGCAACUCUGUUUCUUUAAUCUUUUAAUUCUGGCAACUUCUCCCCUUGUCCUUCCUCUAUAUUUCCUGACCUUUUUGUCUUGCAGGCCCCUGGAUAAAGUGACUGCACAAGGAGCCAGCCCACCUUCCCAUCCUCCUCAUGGACAACAGAGCUGGAACCCUUGCAAGGCAGUGGUGCAGUCUUUCCGAGUUUCUGGAUUCCCUGCAUCUGUGAGGAGCAGUUCUGCUGCCAACUUCAUCCCUCUUCCUUCACAGAAGAAAGACUUCUGAGCUUGCCGACAGUCGCCCAGUCAUGUGGGACAGUGGCAGGGAUGUAACUACAGAGAAGUGCAUAUGCUUGUCUCCUGGGAGCCACCACAGCUCUGCAGAAGUGCUCUCAAUAGCCACCAGUGGGUCUCUGGGAUCCCUGAAUUUCUGCAGUUUGCAAGAGUCGUCCCUGUCUUUGUGCAUGAAGCACAGGCCAGAGGUGCCUGCUGCCCCUUUGACAUCUUCUCAGCAGGACUGAUGGUGGCCAGGCUUU